GAUGAACGCUGGCGGCGUGCUUAACACAUGCGAGUCGAACGGAAAGGCCCAAGCUUGCUUGGGUACUCGAGUGGCGAACGGGUGAGUAACACGUGGGUGAUCUGCCCCGCACUUCGGGAUAAGCCUGGGAAACUGGGUCUAAUACCGGAUAGGACCACUUCUUGGAGGUUGUGGUGGAAAGUUUUUUCGGUGUGGGAUGAGCUCGCGGCCUAUCAGCUUGUUGGUGGGGUAAUGGCCUACCAAGGCGUCGACGGGUAGCCGGCCUGAGAGGGUGUACGGCCACAUUGGGACUGAGAUACGGCCCAGACUCCUACGGGAGGCAGCAGUGGGGAAUAUUGCACAAUGGGCGCAAGCCUGAUGCAGCGACGCCGCGUGGGGGAUGACGGCCUUCGGGUUGUAAACUCCUUUCGCUAGGGACGAAGCGCAAGUGACGGUACCUAGAGAAGAAGCACCGGCUAACUACGUG
rnacentral:rRNA from 1 species